GAGUUUGAUCGUGGCUCAGGAUGAACGCUGGCGGCGUGCCUAAUACAUGCAAGUCGAACGAACAGAUAAGGAGCUUUGCUCCUUUGACGUUAGCGGCGGACGGGUGAGUAACACGUGGGUAACCUACCUAUAAGACUGGAAUAACUCCGGGAAACCGGGGCUAAUGCCGGAUAACAUGUUGAACCGCAUGGUUCUACAGUGAAAG
rnacentral:rRNA from 1 species